rnacentral:rRNA from 1 species
CCGUAGCGAAAGCGAGUCUGAAUAGGGCGAGAUUGAUUCUUCGGGAAUCAAAGCGUACUUGUACGUUUAGUCAGUAGUGUUAGACGCGAAACCGUGUGAUCUACCCAUGGGCAGGAUGAAGCUGUGGUAACACAUAGUGGAGGUCCGAACCGGUUGUCGUUGAAAAGACUUCGGAUGACCUGUGGGUAGGGGUGAAAGGCCAAUCAAACCCGGAAAUAGCUCGUACUCCCCGAAAUGCAUUUAGGUGCAGCGUUAGUUAUAAAGUUAUAUAGAGGUAGAGCUACUGAUUGGAUGCGGGGGCUUCACCGCCUACCAAUUCCUGACAAACUCCGAAUGCUAUAUAAUGUUCACUAACAGUGAGGGCUUGGGUGCUAAGGUCCAAGUCCGAGAGGGAAAGAACCCAGACCAUCAGCUAAGGUCCCCAAAUCUAUACUAAGUUGAAAGAACGAGGUUUGUCUGCCCAGACAGCUAGGAUGUUGGCUUGGAAGCAGCCAUUCAUUUAAAGAGUGCGUAACAGCUCACUAGUCGAGCGGACGAGCAUGGAUAAUAAUCGGGCAUAAGUAUAGUACCGAAGCUAUGGAUUUUAACGUAAGUUAAAGUGGUAGGGGAGCAUUCUAACAGGGUAGAAGGUUUUUCGUAAGGGAGGCUGGACUGGUUAGAAAAGAAAAUGUAGGCAUAAGUAACGAUAAUGCGGGCGAGAAACCCGCACACCGAAAAACUAAGGUUUCCACAGCUAUGCUAAUCAGCUGUGGGUUAGUCUGGGCCUAAGGCGAAUCCGAAAGGAACAGUCGAUGGAUAACGGGUUAAUAUUCCCGUACUUGCUCUAAUGUGAUGGGGUGACGGAGAAAUGACACUGCUGCGUGCUGACGGAAUAGCACGUUGAACCAAGUAGGUAUAGGCUUGAUAGUUAAAUGCGUCAGGCUUGCUGAAUUGGGAUAGUACACGAAAUCUUCGGAUGGAGUGAUAAUGCAGGUAAAGGCUUCCAAGAAAAACCUCUAAACUUCAGUUAGACGCAACUCGUACCGUAAACCGACACAGGUAGUUGGGAUGAGUAUUCUAAGGUGCUUGAGUGAAUCAUGGCUAAGGAACUAGGCAAAAUAGACCCGUAACUUCGGGAGAAGGGUCGCUGGUAGCAAUACCAGCCGCAGUGAAAAGGCCCAGGCGACUGUUUAUCAAAAACACAGGACUCUGCUAAGUUGAAAGAUGAUGUAUAGGGUCUGACACCUGCCCGGUGCUGGAAGGUUAAGAGGAGAUGUUAUCUUCGGAGAAGCAUUGAAUUGAAGCCCCAGUAAACGGCGGCCGUAACAAUAACGGUCCUAAGGUAGCGAAAUUCCUUGUCGGGUAAGUUCCGACCUGCACGAAUGGUGUAACGAUCUGGACACUGUCUCAGCCAUGAGCUCGGUGAAAUUGUAGUAACGGUGAAGAUGCCGUUUACCCGCAGUGGGACGAAAAGACCCUGUGCACCUUUACUAUAGCUUAGUAUUGACCUUGGAUAAAUGAUGUGUAGGAUAGGUUGGAGACUAUGAAGUGGCGUCGCUAGGCGUUGUGGAGUCAUUGUUGAAAUACAACCCUUUGUUUAUCUGAGGCCUAACCCCGCAUAAGCGGGGGACAUUGCUUGGUGGGUAGUUUGACUGGGGUGGUCGCCUCCAAAAGAGUAACGGAGGCUUCUAAAGGUUCCCUCAGUACGCUUGGUAACCGUGCGUAGAGUGCAAUGGCAUAAGGGAGCUUGACUGAGAGACAUACAGGUCGAUCAGGUACGAAAGUAGAGCAUAGUGAUCCGGUGGUUCCGCAUGGAAGGGCCAUCGCUCAAAGGAUAAAAGGUACGCCGGGGAUAACAGGCUGAUCUCCCCCAAGAGCUCAUAUCGACGGGGGGGUUUGGCACCUCGAUG